rnacentral:lncRNA from 10 species
AGAGAUAAAGAGUGGAGGAAGAAAGUGAGAGCCAGAGAGAGACAGAAACAGGGAAUGACCAUUUACAUAUGUACACAUAGGCUACAGCAAGACUUCAUCCCCAGAUCCACUGUGGUUUCCAACUCCUGAAAUACUUGGAAUGAGGUGGAAGAAGCAAAGAAAGAAGGGAGCAGAGGAUUUGUGUUGUCUUGUUGAGAAGGCAGAAGCAAACAGAUGAGGUAGAAGGUUACUGUAAUAUUCCAGACAAAUGAUGAUGCAGCUUGAAGAAUGUGGUAACUGUGGCGAUACAAAGCAGUCAAAAUCAGGAAGUACUGUGAAGGUAGAGCCAACGGGAUGUGCCGUCAAACUGGAUAUGGGUGGAAAAUAAAAAGAAGGGUCCAAGAUAAU